AUUGAACGCUGGCGGCAGGCCUAACACAUGCAAGUCGAGCGGAUGUGUAGAGCUUGCUCUCUGAUUUAGCGGCGGACGGGUGAGUAAUGCCUAGGAAUCUGCCUGGUAGUGGGGGAUAACGUUCCGAAAGGAACGCUAAUACCGCAUACGUCCUACGGGAGAAAGCAGGGGACCUUCGGGCCUUGCGCUAUCAGAUGAGCCUAGGUCAGAUUAGCUAGUUGGUGAGGUAAUGGCUCACCAAGGCGACGAUCCGUAACUGGUCUGAGAGGAUGAUCAGUCACACUGGAACAGAGACACGGUCCAGACUCCUACGGGAGGCAGCAGUGGGGAAUAUUGGACAAUGGGCGAAAGCCUGAUCCAGCCAUGCCGCGUGUGUGAAGAAGGUCUUCGGAUUGUAAAGCACUUUAAGUUGGGAGGAAGGGUUGUAGAUUAAUACUCUGCAAUUUUGACGUUACCAACAGAAUAAGCACCGGCUAACUUCGUGCCAGCCGCCGCCGUAACAC
rnacentral:rRNA from 1 species